rnacentral:rRNA from 1 species
UUUGACCUCAAAUCAGGUAGGAGUACCCGCUGAACUUA